rnacentral:rRNA from 1 species
AUUGAACGCUGGCGGCAUGCCUUACACAUGCAAGUCGAACGGCAGCACGGGAGCAAUCCUGGUGGCGAGUGGCGAACGGGUGAGUAAUAUAUCGGAACGUGCCCAGUCGUGGGGAUAACGUAGCGAAAGCUACGCUAAUACCGCAUACGAUCUAUGGAUGAAAGCGGGGGAUCGCAAGACCUCGCGCGAUUGGAGCGGCCGAUAUCAGAUUAGGUAGUUGGUGAGGUAAAGGCUCACCAAGCCGACGAUCUGUAGCUGGUCUGAGAGGACGACCAGCCACACUGGAACUGAGACACGGUCCAGACUCCUACGGGAGGCAGCAGUGGGGAAUUUUUGGACAAUGGACGCAAGUCUGAUCCAGCCAUUCCGCGUGCAGGAUGAAGGCCCUCGGGUUGUAAACUGCUUUUGUACGGAACGAAAAGGUCUCUAUUAAUACUAGGGCUCAUGACGGUACCGUAAGAAUAAGCACCGG